GAAUUACUCCCUCCGUCCCAUAUUAAGUGACUCAAAUUUGUCUAAAUAUGAACGUAUUUAUAUACUAAAAUAUGUCUAGAUACAUGUAAUAGAAAGUCACUUAAUAUGAGACGGAGGGAGUACCUG
rnacentral:pre_miRNA from 1 species